rnacentral:rRNA from 1 species
GUGAGGAAUAUUGGACAAUGGGCGCAAGCCUGAUCCAGCCAUGCCGCGUGCAGGAAGACGCAUCUAUGGUGUGUAAACUGCUUUUGUACGGGAAGAAACACUCCCUCGUGAGGGAGCUUGACGGUACCGUAAGAAUAAGGAUCGGCUAACUCCGUGCCAGCAGCCGCGGUAAUACGGAGGAUCCACGCGUUAUCCGGAAUCAUUGGGUUUAAAGGGUCCGUAGGCGGUUUAAUAAGUCAGUGGUGAAAGCCCAUCGCUCAACGAUGGAACGGCCAUUGAUACUGUUAGACUUGAAUUACAAGGAAUUAACUAGAAUAUGUAGUGUAGCGGUGAAAUGCUUAGAUAUUACAUGGAAUACCAAUUGCGAAGGCAGGUUACUACUUGUGGAUUGACGCUGAUGGACGAAAGCGUGGGGAGCGAACAGGAUUAGAAACCCUGGUAGUCC